GAUGAACGCUGGCGGCGUGCCUAAUACAUGCAAGUAGAACGCUGAAGGAAGGAGCUUGCUCUUUCCGGAUGAGUUGCGAACGGGUGAGUAACGCGUAGGUAACCUGCCUGGUAGCGGGGGAUAACUAUUGGAAACGAUAGCUAAUACCGCAUAACAGUAGAUGUUGCAUGAUAUCUACUUAAAAGGUGCAAUUGCACCACUACCAGAUGGACCUGCGUUGUAUUAGCUAGUUGGUGAGGUAACGGCUCACCAAGGCGACGAUACAUAGCCGACCUGAGAGGGUGAUCGGCCACACUGGGACGGAGACACGGCCCAGACUCCUACGGGAGGCAGCAGUAGGGAAUCUUCGGCAAUGGACGGAAGUCUGACCGAGCAACGCCGCGUGAGUGAAGAAGGUUUUCGGAUCGUAAAGCUCUGUUGUAAGAGAAGAACGAGUGUGAGAGUGGAAAGUUCACACUGUGACGGUAUCUGACCAGAAAGGGACGGCUAACUACGUG
rnacentral:rRNA from 1 species